rnacentral:lncRNA from 1 species
GUCUGUUUUCUUGUCAUCCAAUAUUCCGCUUUUACAGAAUUGUUGUUAAGAUAUUGUAAAAUUUGCAAUGUAACUAUAACUUUCAGAUGAAGAACAAACGUGUUUGUCAUUUGCUGACUCAAGAGUGUUCAGUGUUUUUAAGUUGAGACACUGCGAAAUGCGCAUCUGGUGCAAAACUUUUGUACUGGUAAUGUUAUAACUACCUCUUGGUUAAAACCUUCGGUGAUGCUGUUAGUCCCAUAGGAUUGCAACUGUCCGGUUGCCGUUUUUUUCUGUUUUUACAUGAAAACAACGUGUAUUGUGUUAUUGAAUUCAGAAUUGAAUUAAGCAAUGUAUAUAUCUCCCUCAUCGGAUUCCAAUUCAUUGGCUAUUCAUUCUUAAAGUGUUUGGUACAUUUAUAAGGAAACCAGUUGUUUACUGAUUAUAGUUACUGUCUCUAACACAUACCUCCCUAAUCUUUGAAUUGCUCCAUUUCUUGUUAGAAAUGAUUAUGUCUAAAAGAUUUAAAUUUGAAGAACAUUCAAAUUGGCCUUUAUAAGUCAUCUCUAUAGAGCGAACACUUACUUACCGACCAUGCAAGGGCUGUAUAGCCAGUCAAGGUCGUCAUUUGUUUGUUGAACACUUAAUUUUCAUAUCAUGUCCCGUUUAUGGCAUGAUUAUGUAUUUUGAACCUCAAUUUGUUAUAAAGUAGAGAGGCACUUUAAGCUGAAGCAAAUAUAGAGCUAGAUUUACAUGAUAACUAUUUAAAUGGUCAAUAAGAGACAAUCAAUCAUUUUGAAUUAAAGAAUAUAUAUAUCCCUCAUACUAAAGCCCUGAUUCCAUUUCAUUGAUUAUUUUUGUUUUUAAAGUGUUUGGUACAUUUUAAACAGUUAUUUAAUUAUUAUAGUUACUGUCUCUAAUACAUACCACCCUAAUCUUUGAUUUGCUCCAUUUCUUGUUAGAAUUGAUCAUGUCUUAAAGAUUUAAAUUUGAAGGACAUUAAAAUUGGCUUAUAUAAGUCAUCUCUAUAGAGCGAACACUUAUUUACCGACAGUGCUGUAUAGCCAGUCAAGGUCGUUAAAAACUUCCAUUUGUUUGUUGAACACUUACUUUUCAUAUCAUGUCCCGUUUAUGACAUGAUUAUGUUAUAGAUAAUGCAUAUUUUAAGGCUUUCUUUGAGCAAUCCUGACCACCCGAGGUGUGUUCUACGACAAGAAAAACCUUAAUAUAUGCAUUAUCUGACUUGUAUACCGCCAAAAAAAUAUUAUUCUUUAUAAAAUUUGCAAAAUUUAGUAUCUUAGUUUACCGACAACACUAAAGUGGGAUAUUCCUUUCUAAUGCAUUCAGGUUUUAAUACGCCCUACGGCUCAUUUAGAAUGUGAAAUAAA